GGCCAGUUAGCUCAGUCAGUUGAGCGUGGCGCUAACAACGCCAGCGUUGCAGAUUUGAUUCCUGUUCGGUCCC
rnacentral:tRNA from 1 species